rnacentral:rRNA from 1 species
UACGUAGGCAGCGAGCGUUGUUCGGAUUUACUGGGCGUAAAGCGCACGUAGGCGGCUUUGUAAGUUAGAGGUGAAAGCCUGGAGCUCAACUCCAGAAUUGCCUUUAAGACUGCAUCGCUUGAAUCAUGGAGAGGCGGGUGGAAUUCCGAGUGUAGAGGUGAAAUUCGUAGAUAUUCGGAAGAACACCAGUGGCGAAGGCGGCCCGCUGGACAUGUAUUGACGCUGAGGUGCGAAAGCGUGGGGAGCAAACAGG